ACUCCUACGGGAGGCAGCAGUGGGGAAUAUUGCACAAUGGGCGCAAGCCUGAUGCAGCCAUGCCGCGUGUGUGAAGAAGGCCUUCGGGUUGUAAAGCACUUUCAGUCGUGAGGAAGGUAGUGUAGUUAAUAGCUGCAUUAUUUGUACGUUAGCGACAGAAGAAGCACCGGCUAACUCCGUGCCAGCAGCCGCGGUAAGUACGGAGGGUGCGAGCGUUAAUCGGAAUUACGUGGGCGUAAAGCGCAUGCAGGUGGUUUGUUAAGUCAGAUGUGAAAGCCCGGGGCUCAACCUCGGAAUAGCAUUUGAAACUGGCAGACUAGAGUACUGGUAGAGGGGGUUAGGAAUUUCGAGGUGUAGCGGUG
rnacentral:rRNA from 1 species